rnacentral:lncRNA from 1 species
CAACCCACUCCACACCUCAGAGUCGCCUCUUAUCCUCAACAGCGGUGAGCAGAAAUGUACCCGCAGGAGCCGAGCCCCGGGGCGGAGCUGGCCGUUCUCGAGUUUGUCCGCCAACACCUCCUCGAUGACCCCGCCCCCUCGGCCGGGGUCCCGUCCUCCGCGGUGACUCCACCUUCCGUUUACUGCCGGAGUUGCAGCUUUGGCAGCCUCGUCGCCGCCCAGUGGGGUGACCUCCCCUUCCGCCUCGACGACUCCGACGACAUGGUCGUCUAUGGCGCCCUCCGGGACGCCUACUCCCACGGCUGGAACCCCUCCCCCGAAGCCGGUCCCGUCACCGCCUCCGCCGUUGUCGUCAAAUCGGAGCCCGUUACCGAGCUGCCUCCACCGACGCCGGCGCUAGCGAUUCAGGUGCCUCCGGCACAGCCCGCGCCAGAGGCACCGGCAGCGCCGGCGGCGCCGGCGAAGGGGAAGCACUACAGAGGGGUGCGGCAGCGGCCGUGGGGGAAGUUCGCGGCGGAGAUCCGAGAUCCGGCGAAGAACGGGGCGAGGGUUUGGCUGGGGACGUUCGAAACGGCGGAGGAGGCCGCCAUCGCCUACGACAAAGCUGCCUAUCGGAUGCGCGGCUCCCGCGCGCUCCUCAACUUCCCGCUCC